GCCCUGGUGGUCUAGCGGUAUGAUUCUUCCUUAGGGUGGAAGAGGUCCCAGGUUCGAUCCCUGGCCAGGGCC
rnacentral:tRNA from 6 species